rnacentral:rRNA from 1 species
ACGGGUGAGUAAUGCCUAGGAAUCUGCCUGGUAGUGGGGGAUAACGUUCCGAAAGGAACGCUAAUACCGCAUACGUCCUACGGGAGAAAGCAGGGGACCUUCGGGCCUUGCGCUAUCAGAUGAGCCUAGGUCGGAUUAGCUAGUUGGGGGAGGUAAUGGGCUCCCCAGGGGGACGAUCCGUAACUGGUCUGCUGUGAGAGGAUGAUCAGUCACACUGGAACUGAGACACGGUCCAGACUCCUACGGGAGGCAGCAGUGGGGAAUAUUGGACAAUGGGCGAAAGCCUGAUCCAGCCAUGCCGCGUGUGUGAAGAAGGUCUUCGGAUUGUAAAGCACUUUAAGUUGGGAGGAAGGGCAGUAAGUUAAUACCUUGCUGUUUUGACGUUACCGACAGAAUAAGCACCGGCUAACUUCGUGCCAGCAGCCGCGGUAAUACAAAGGGUGCAAGCGUUAAUCGGAAUUACUGGGCGUAAAGCGCGCGUAAGUGGUUCGGUGAAGGUUGGAUGUGAAAGCCCCGGGCUCAACCUGGGAACUGCCUCCAAAACUGGCGAGCUAUAGUACGGUAGAGGGUGGUGGAAUUUCCUGUGUAGCGCUGAAAUGCGUAGAUAUAUGAAGGAACACCCAGUGUCGAACGCGACCACCUGAACUGAUACUGACACUGAGGUGCGAAAGCGUGGGCGGAGCAAUACAGGAUUAUAUACUCCUGGGUAGUUCCAGCGGCCGUAAACGAUGUCA